rnacentral:rRNA from 1 species
CUACGGGCGGCUGCAGUGGGGAAUUUUGCGCAAUGGGGGAAACCCUGACGCAGCAAUACCGCGUGAGUGAAGAAGGCCUUUGGGUCGUAAAGCUCUUUUCUUGGGGAAGAUAGUGACGGUACCCAAGGAAUAAGCACCGGCUAACUCCGUGCCAGCAGCCGCGGUAAUACGGAGGGUGCAAGCGUUGUUCGGAUUUACUGGGCGUAAAGGGCACGUAGGCGGCACAGCAAGUUAAGGGUGAAAUCCCGGGGCUCAACUCCGGAACUGCUCUUAAAACUGCUGAGCUAGAGAUAGUCAGAGGCGGGUGGGAUUCCAGGUGUAGAGGUGAAAUUCGUAGAUAUCUGGAGGAACACCGGUGGCGAAGGCGGCCCGCUGGGGCUAUUCUGACGCUAAGGUGCGAAAGCGUGGGGAGCAAACGGGAUUAGAUACCCCUGUAGUC